rnacentral:lncRNA from 10 species
GAAGAGCAAUAUAGAGGUCUCCAUAUUAUGGGGGAACAGACAGUCCCAGAGCAGGGAGGUCACUUGAACAGGGUCACAGAGGCAGGAGGCCACGAACCUGGCUGGACACUGCAGGGCCAAGCAGGUAAACACUGUGCCUGACUCGCACCCAGACUUCGCAACAACCCUAGAAUAUUCAUAAGUCAGUAAUAAUAGUGUUACAGGAAAGGAGUCCCGAUCCAGACCCCAAGAGAGGGUUCUUGGAUUCCCACAAGAGAGAAUUCAGGGCAGGUCCAUAAAGUGAAAGCAAG